rnacentral:other from 1 species
GGAUACCUGCGGUGUGCGUGAUUGAGCAGAUGAUUUUGGGCCGACAUCUUUUUUCUUGGGAACUCCCUCUGGUUCUGGAUGGCAUAUUUGCCCUUUUUGGGCAAAGAGUCAGAAGGAACUAUGGAGUGCCCACUUGUAUAAAAGAGGUUCAAAAGAUUCUGCUAACACGGCACCGCGGGUUAAUU